AUUGAACGCUGGCGGCAUGCCUUACACAUGCAAGUCGAACGGUAACAGGUCUCCGGAUGCUGACGAGUGGCGAACGGGUGAGUAAUACAUCGGAGCGUGCCUAGUAGUGGGGGAUAACUACCCGAAAGAGUGGCUAAUACCGCAUGAGAUCUACGGAUGAAAGCAGGGGAUCGCAAGAACUUGUGCUACUAGAGCGGCCGAUGGCAGAUUAGGUAGUUGGUGGGAUAAAAGCUUACCAAGCCGACGAUCUGUAGCUGGUCUGAGAGGACGGUCAGCCACACUGGGACUGAGACACGGCCCAGACUCCUACGGGAGGCAGCAGUGGGGAAUUUUGGACAAUGGGCGCAAGCCUGAUCCAGCAAUGCCGCGUGCAGGAUGAAGGCCUUCGGGUUGUAAACUGCUUUUGUACGGAACGAAAAGCCCUGGGUUAAUACCCUGGGGUCAUGACGGUACCGUAAGAAUAAGCACCGGCUAACUACGUGCCAGCCGCCGCCGUAACAC
rnacentral:rRNA from 1 species